rnacentral:rRNA from 1 species
AUUUUAGAUCUAAUUCUAUAUACUAAAGUAUUAAAAGCUAUAAUCUCCAAAUUUAAAGGAUUUGGCGGUGAUUUAAUCCUAUUAGAGGAACCUGUUCAGUAAACGAUAAACCACGCAAAAUCUUACCUAUUUUCAGUUUGUAUACCGUCAUUAUUAGAUAACUUUCCAAGAAAACAGUUAUUGAGAUAAGAAUUCUUAAUAUAUUAGAUCAAGGUGCAGCUUAUAAAUAGGAAAUUAAUGGGUUACAUUAAGACUUAGUUACACGGAUAUAAAACUUAAACGUUUUGUUUAAGGAGGAUUUAAUAGUAAGAUUAGUUUAAUAUGCUAAUUUGACAAUGGACCUAAAUCGUGUACAUAUCGCCCGUCACUUGCAUUACCAAAUGAAAUAAGUC